AUUGAACGCUGGCGGCAGGCCUAACACAUGCAAGUCGAGCGGCAGCACAAGUAAGUUUACUUAUGAGGUGGCGAGCGGCGGACGGGUGAGUAAUGCCUAGGGAUCUGCCCAGUCGAGGGGGAUAACAGUUGGAAACGACUGCUAAUACCGCAUACGCCCUACGGGGGAAAGAGGGGGACUUUCGGGCCUCUCGCGAUUGGAUGAACCUAGGUGGGAUUAGCUAGUUGGGGAGGUAAUGGCUCACCAAGGCGACGAUCCCUAGCUGUUCUGAGAGGAUGAUCAGCCACACUGGGACUGAGACACGGCCCAGACUCCUACGGGAGGCAGCAGUGGGGAAUAUUGCACAAUGGGGGAAACCCUGAUGCAGCCAUGCCGCGUGUGUGAAGAAAGCCUUCGGGUUGUAAAGCACUUUCAGUAGGGAGGAAAGGGUGAGUCUUAAUACGGCUCAUCUGUGACGUUACCUACAGAAGAAGGACCGGCUAACUCCGUGCCAGCAGCCGCCGUAAAAC
rnacentral:rRNA from 1 species